rnacentral:tRNA from 1 species
UCUCUGGUAGUCCAUCGGUUAGUACCUCGUCUUGGGCACAAAGAGCUUGGUUCGACUCCCAGCCACAGAG